GGCUUUCGGCGAGCUCCCUUCCUUCCUCCCUUCCUCCCUCCCUCCAUCCCUGCCCCUUUCGCAACCUUUAUAUCAUCAGAGAGGAGGGAUACGACGUUCGCUGAGUCGCGUCUUUCCUCUUUGUACCGCUUCGCGACCUCCAUGGAACCGGAGACGAGAACGACGGCGGUGGCUCCAAUGAGGUAGGUGGCGGAGGGAUCUAGAUCUGAGGCCUUCCUCCCCCUCUCUCCUAUCCUAGAGUCCUGGAUCUAAUCUGGCCCCUCCUCAUCUUCCUCCUCCUCCUCCUCUAGAUCUAAGGGAUGUGGUGGUGGCUAGGGUUUCGGUGAGCUCUUGAGGUUCAGCUCUCUCGUGUGUUGCAAUGGUGUUCUCCAGAUGUUGUAGCAUAUUUUCACUUGUUGUUUUAGUAGGCUAGGCUUCUGGCAAGCUCUCGGGUUCAGAUUUCACCUUUGUUGCAAUAGUUCCCUCUGGAUGUUGCAGCGGGUUUCAGUCAUUGUUGGAGUACUUCUUUUUUGAUAUGUUGUUUCAUUUUCUUCAGUCUGCAUGUUGCAGUAGUUUGUUGCCUAUUGUUGGAGCAGUUGUCGGGUGUUGUUGUUGUAGUAUGUUCAUUGUGUUUCAGCAGCUGCACCAAAUGUUUCAGCUAUUUUUUCUUUGUUUGUUUAUGUUCAAGGUGUUUCAACUUCAUCAUCCCAGUGUUGGAACUGUUGUCCUUUUUUGUUGUUGCACUGCUAUGCGUUCAUAGUGUUUUAACUGCUAUAAUUUAUUGUUACAGUAGUUCGUCGGGCGUGUUGCAAUAUCACGUUUUUGGUGUUUCAACGUCUUCAUCCUUAUGUUGCAGCGUGCAGACGAGGGAGGGGGAGGGGAGGGGAGCUGUGGUGGUGACUUUGCAGUUGAUUGGACAAUACUCCCUCCGUCCCAAAAAAAAGAGUGUCGUUUUAGAAUUUUAGACAUCUUAAUCAUUCGUCUUAUUUAAUUUUUUACAUAAAUAUUAUAUAUUUUGUUAAGACUUAUUUUAUCAUUAGAGAUACUUUACUAAUAAUUUAUUUAUUUUAUAAUUUAUAAAAAAUUUUUGAAUAUAACGAACGGUCAAACAUGAUGUCUAAAAAUAAAAAACGUUACUUUUUUUUGGAUGGAGUGAGUAUUUAUGAAAUAGAAACGAAAGUGCUACGGUGGUGUUUAUUUUGUAAAAAAAGUUUGUAAUUAAACAAGGCUCCAGACUCGUCUCUAUAAGGAGGUGCAUUUGCAGAGUCGCAGAGAACCAGAACCACACGCACACGGCGCUCCCGCUCCUCGUCCGCACCGGCGAAAACGUGCACCUACGGGGUCGUGUCGACCAAAGCAGGCACGGACAGACGCAGGCGCAGCCACACAGUCACACAACAGCCAGCGAGAAAGAAAAAAACGCCGUGCGACACCACACGUCCACACCAGCAGUCUGGGCCCAGUGCGGCGGGUUACGUCGCGUCGCGGACGUCGACCGACCGACCCCGUAUCGCGACGGCUUUGACCAUGGACCGACGACCGGGGCACUCCCUGCCUCACGCACGCACUGCUGGGCCUCCGAAUUUGCCCUCAUAAAAAACUUUUUAGAUUUAGAGACUAUAGUAUUUUUGUUUAUAUUUAUUAAUUAUUAUUUAAUUAUAAAUUAAUUAUAUUUAACAAAUUUAUCUUAUAAAUUAUAGAUAAGUUGUAUAAUUAAUUAUUUUUUUAAUUUAUAUUUAAUGUUCUAUAUGUAUAUAUUGUAUGAUUUGUUGUAAUGUGAAAUUUUUAAAAUAAAAAGAUUUUAGGUGAGACUGGACCAGGCAGCAGGGGGGAGUAGCCAGCCGGGAAAGCAACCUCUCACCCCGCCCCAUACGUCACCCUCAAUUUCUUCCUUUUGACUCCCCUACUACCUUUCCUGCCUGCCCUGCUUUGAACACAGCCCUCUUUUUCCCUUUCAUGUAUUCCACACCCUCUUUUCUAGUUUUUGACUAAAAAAAAGUACCUCAUGUUUGCAAAUAUGUGUCUUAUUCGUUUAGCUGAUAAGCUAUGAUAGAAAGUAUUGUUGGCUGAUUUAUUGUGAGAGAAAAACACUACUGAGUGGCUAACAGAUUCGGCUGAUAAACUCAAGAAAACGCUAAUGUGCUUGUAGAAUAAAAAAAUCGCAUUUGAGCUUGAUGAUGAUAAGGGGGUUUGUGGGUGCGAGGGGAGAUUUGGUAUGGUGUUACCCAUGUAGCCUCUCUGCAAUCAGAUACGGUGUUGAUAUAGAAUCUUAUAAGAUCAACCUAUGUAGCCUCUCCGCAAUCAGAUACGAUGCUGAUAUAGAAUAUUGUAAGAUCUAUCAAUGAGAACCACUUCAUACUAGUUUAAUCUAUCUAUGCUAAGUUAAUUUAUAUCAUUCUCACUAAGUUUUUUUUUUUGAAAAAAACAAGAAGCAUGUAUCAAUAUAUACAAGUUGAAAUAAACAUACUACCAAGACAUAUUUCAUGUAGAAUUUAAUAAAAGCUUAUUUGAUGAUGCGAAUAUUGGUGCAUUUUUAAUAUAAUCUCUCCACAUACGGAGUGUAUCUCCACAGCCUGGCACGCCGCUGGUUGCGUGGAAACACUAUGGACGUCACACCUUUGCUCCAAACCAAACAAUGCUACUUGGCUAUCAUGAAGUGUGGCGUGGCUGGUCGUGCCUUGCAACAAAACACUCUUAGAGUACACAUGUUUUCUACCAUUUUAUGUUAAAAUUGCCGAUUGGUAGAGCUCGAGAAGUUUAAUAUCAUGAAUUCACUAAGGUCAGUCUCAAUGCAUGUUUCAUGAGAGUGUCAUACACAUUAAAUAGGAUACCACAUAAGCAAAAUUGCUGACUUGGCAGGAUCAUUAAAUGAAGGAGUUUCAUCAGAUGUGAGAGGAGUUUCAUCCCCAUAAAACUCUUGUGGCUCAGUUACCUAGUUACUAGUAUUGUUAACUGUGUCAUUAAACUAUGCAUUGAGACUGGCCUAAUAGUGCCAUGAAUUCAAUACCACUAAAAGUUCGAGCCAAUAAUAAUUUUGGUUUUCUCCUUGAUUAAAACUCCGAGUUGCUAGAUGUUCUUUGGCGAGCAUAGAUGUUUUGUAGAAGAAUAUGGAACUCACAUGGAUUUUGUAUUUUGAUUUCUUGACUAUGUAAAUGUAUACGCUUCAACGCCAUAUAUAAGGAAAACAGAACCAAACAAAAAGGCUUUUAAGCGUGGAAGGAAAAUAUAUAGUGUUUGAGGGGUACACGUGAAGACUUCUCCCGGAGAGGGAAAAAAAAAUUGUAGUAACUGUUACGUUUGACACGAGCACGGUAGAGCCGAGCCGACGCGAGGACGACGACCACCAGUCCACCACCGUCGCUUUUCCUGGCCUUCCAUAUACCAGCACCCGCACCACCUCCACCUCCCUUUCCCUUUCUGGCCGCAUUCCCUCGUCCUCCGGCCGGCAGCCGUCGUCGCCAGCAGGAGCUUCCGAUGGUCCGGAAGGAGACGGCCAUGAGGCUGCCCCCGCAGCACCAGGCGCUGGAGGUCAAGAUCCCCAGCUUCUUCCGCUGCCCGAUCUCGCUCGACGUCAUGCGCUCGCCCGUCAGCCUCUGCACCGGCGUCACCUACGACCGGGCCUCCAUCCAGCGGUGGCUCGACUCCGGCAACACCACGUGCCCGGCCACCAUGCUCCCGCUCCGCUCCACCGACCUCGUCCCCAACCUCACCCUCCGCAGCCUCAUCGCGCACUGGGCCGCCUCCGCCGCCUCCUGCUCCCCCACCGCCACCGACAAUUCUUCGGCGACACGGACCUCUUCCCCCGCGAGCCUCGUCCGGCAGGUGGCUUCCGCCGGCGUCGACCCGUCCCCGGCCCUCCGCGAGCUGGCCGCCUAUCUCUCCGACGACGACGUCGACGACUUCGAAAAGAACGCGCUCUUGGGCGCCGGCCGCGCCGCCGAGACCGUCGCGUCGGUUCUCCGGAGAAGACCCGAGGAAACCGGCGUCGAGGGCGUGGAGGCGGCAACCAGAGUGCUGGCCAAGAUCUUGGCCUCGGACGGCAUCGACGACGCGAACAAGAAGCGGGUGGCCACCGGCCUCACCGCCGACGCGGCGGCCUCGGCCGCGUCGCUAGCGCGCGUGAUGCGCCGCGGUAGCGGCGGCCUGGAGGCGAGGGUCGACGCGGCGAGGCUGGCGGAGCUGCUGCUCGCCAAUGCCGCAGACGAGGCGGCGAAGGCGGCGGUGGCCGAGUCGUCCGAGCUGCUGGCCGAGCUGGUACGGCUCGUGGGCACCGUCGACGAGAAGGGCGCCCUGGAGAGGAACGCCGUGGACGCCGGCCUCUCCUGCCUUGCCGCAGCCAUCUGCGUCUGCGGCGGGUCGCGCCGCGCCUGGGCGCGCGGCGAGAUGGUGCGCCUGGGCGCGGUCCAGGCCGCGGUGCGCGCCCUGCGCGCCGCCACGACGGAGCCCGGCGCGUCCGCGAAGGCGCUCCGCGUGCUCGAGUCCGCCGUGGGCUGCGCCGAGGGCCGCGCCGCGCUGUGCGGUGACGCGGAGGAGGCCAUCCCGGCCGUGGUGGGCAGGAUGAUGAAGUCCGGGCGCGACGGCGCCGAGGCCGCCGUGGCCGUGCUCUGGGCGGUCUGCCACCGGUACCGGGACCGCCGCGCGGCGGACGCGGCCGCGGCGGCGGAGGGCGGGCUGACGAGGCUGCUCCUGCUGAUGCAGAGCGGGUGCUCGCCGGCGGCGAGGCAGAUGGCGCUGGAGCUGCUCAAGAUUUAUAGGGUGAACGCCAAGAGCUGCCUCGCCGGCUACGACUCCAAGACCACCCACAUCAUGCCCUUCUGAGGAAGCGAAGCGGACGAGAAUGGCUUGCCGGAAUCCUUCCUGGGCUAGCUGAUCAAAUGGAUUCGAUGAAUCGAUUAAAUUGCAGGCGAUGGUGUUCUUGUUCCUGUGAUGUUUCUUGAUAUUUUUUUCCAUUUUCUUUUGAUGUAAGUCGAUAGAGAAACAAAGAACAAUUGGUUCAUGGUGGAGGGGAGAAGAAUAAUAAUCUGUACAGUUCAUGGGUAGAGUUUUUGACAUGAUCAGAACAGGCACAGGGGACAACUUAACCAAAGAAUUGAUUUUUUAGGCCAAAGCAAUUGGAAGCGUUUGAUUAUUCCUCCUGAAAGAUUUGCGAAUUUUCAGAGAAAUGAUGAUCGACAGGAGAUGUGGAAUGAUAAGGUUGUUACUGGAAGCAAUAAUGCUUGUUGCUGCUCACAUCAAAACUUACGAAGAAGCUGAACGACGACGAUCACAUCAAAUGAUUUCAUUUCGAAUCAUUGGUCUGCACUUGUGGUAAUGCGUACGUACUAGGUUUUCAUAGAAGUGCUUAUCAGGCAACAAGUUGUAGAAUUGCCUAAUGCAGGAUGUCGUGGUCUGGACUAGAAGGACAGAUUACUCCUACAAAUCCGUAGUCUGAAAGCAAGAUCAACAAGACAUGGGUACAGCAUGCGCACUACUGGCCAUUAGGAUAGAAAAGCCUGGAUGGAGCACGUUCACGUUGCCGCUGACCAGAGCCCAUGAUGGAUUUGACCAGUGUAGCAUCACGUCUAGUUCACUCCACCCACUCAUGACUGACCCACAAGUCAUGAGACCAGAUGUCUUGGGUGAGCUCUAAGCAUAACCCAGCUAUGUAAUCCCAAAGUAUACUCAGUUUGUUUCUCGUCUUCACUAUUGGAAUAAUUUAUAGACCAGAGUGCUUGUCCCCAUGCCCAUCGGUAACCGGUGAAAGGAACGUUUUGUGCAUCAUGUUGCAUGUUUAAUUAGCACUUGAUCACUAGGCAAUCUUCGUGAAAAUGGGCCUAAUUUUCACACCUAGGAUCUUCCGGCUUAGUAUUGUACUCCUUCCAUCCCAAAUUGUAAGUUAUUCCAAGAAUCUUAGAGAGUGAAAUCAUUUUCACGUUUGACCAAAAUUAUAGAAAAAAAUACUAAAAAUUGUAAUGUAAAGUGAGUAUACUAUAAAAAUAUAAUUAAGAAAUAAUCUAAUAAUACUUAGUUCGUACCAUAAUAAUUAUCAUUUUAUAAUAUAAAUUUGGUCAAACUUAGAAAAGUUUGACUCUCCAAGAUUUUUGGAAUGACUUACAAUUUGGGAUGGAGGAAGUAGAUCGUACUGUCUACCAUCACAAUAUAAUUAAGUUCAUUAAUCAGAUACAAGAUCUUCAAUGUGUCAUUUUGACUACACUUAUGUAGGAAUAAAUAUCUUAUCUUAGACAAAAAGGGUUAUAUGCUAUGUUGAAUAUAUAUUAGUAUCAAUAUUAUAUUGUCAAUCUAUAUGAGUCUUUACACAUUGAUUGUCAAAUCUAGAAAAAAACUAAGAAAAAGUUUAGCUUAACACAAAUCUUGAUGUAGUCAUGUUUGUGAUUAGAGAAAGUAACUCCAAAAUGGUCAUUGAGUUAAAGAAAAGCUAAAGUCGUCAUUUACACUCAGGAGUCCGCACUCCGCAUCAAAAAACAUGCUUGCUGGGUCCUUUUUCCACCCGACAUCUAAGAGCAUGGCCAACAUAAGGCCUUGGGCCUUGUUUACUUCCAACCCAAAAUCUAAAAUUUUUUAUGAUUCUUCAUCACAUCGAAUCUUUAUACACAUGCAUGAAGUACUAAAUAUAACGAAAAUAAAAACUAAUUGCAUAGUUUGGUCAAAAUUAACGAGACAAAUCUUUUGAGCCUAGUUAGUCCAUGGUUGGACAAUAAUUACCACAAACAAACGAAAGUGCUACAGUGUCGCGAAAUUUUUCCCUUCACCAACUAAACACGUUGGUGUUGUUAAAUUUUAACUCCUAUCACAUAUUUAGAUAUAUGUAUGAAGUACUAAAUGUAGACUAUUUACGAAACUAAAAACACAACUAGAGAGUAAUUUAUGAGACGAAUUUUUUAAGUCUAAUUAGUCUAUGAUUCGAUACUAAUUGUUAAAUAAAACGAAAAUGCUACAAUAACUAUUAAGCUUUAACACAUCCAACCAUAUCCUAAGAUUUUUGGCCGCCUCAGAAUAAAGUUAACAUACACGUAGAAAAGAUGGAUGGGAGUCACUGAUCUCUCCAGUGCAAGCUAACAGGUUGGUUGAUUCUGCUCCACUGCGGCCUCACUUUUCCCUCCCAAUGUUCGCUCUUGCAUGCCGGCUCCUCUGCAGCCUUAGUAACUUGUUGCAUGGACGUAACUAAAGCAAAAAAAAAAAAAAAAGGUUGGAGGUCUCGGAGUUCUUGACUUAAAACUCACAAUGAGGCACUUCUUCUUAAGCAGUUACAUAGAAUUUUCAUUUGUGAUGAAGUUCCCUGUGUGCGUUUAGUCUGAGAGAAACAUUACUCCAAAGGGAGAUUGCCAAAUCAUACAAAGAAAGGGUCUUUUUGGUGGCAAGAUAUCUUGAAAUUGCUUGAUAAAUUUAAAGGUCUGGCCUCUGUUCAGAUUAAGGAUGGAGCUUUCUGUCUUUUUUGGGAUGAUUAAUGGGAUGGUUAACCUCUCAAACUUUCUUUUCCAGAACUAUUCUCUUUUGCUAAGAAGCCAGUUAUCUCUUUCAAGAGUGUACUUGCUGUGAGUCCUCCUUUUGGCCUUUUCAACUCCCCUAUCGGUUCAGGCUUUUGCUCAAUUUUAGCGCCUGUUUGGAACGUAGUUUUUUCAUAGGAAAAGUAAAGAAAACGAAAACGGAGGAAAGGAAAAUAAGGAGACCGUUUGGAACGAAGGAAAUGAAUGAAACCUUUCCUCCGGAAGACUGUAGCAACAACACGAUUUCACAGGAAAAAAAGCAUCUGCUCUCACCUCUUGUUUUGCUUUCUUUUGCGCUUGCCCGAGAAAAAUCAAACGGGAAGAGAAAGACGAACAGCUAAUCACUAUAAGAACGGAAUGCCCCGCUGCCAAAUCCGGCCACCACGCCACUGCUCCGCUCUAGGCUGGGGCCCGCUGCCUGCGCCUGGCACUGUGCUGCUGCUCCGCCCCAAGCGCGCAGCAGGCUGCUGCUGGUCGCUGCUCCGCUCUGCGUCACGCUGCCGAGUCCGCCGGCAUCAUGCAACUAACACAGUAUAUAUUAUCAUUUUAUUAAGCACUAACAAUGACUCUUUAUCAUUCACAGACUCAUGAUUCCCUUGUUAUGAAUUCCUGUGUUCCAAACACCCCUUUCAAGUUAUUUCCUGUGUUUUUCCUUUCCUCUGUUUUACCACUACAUACUACAUCCUAUUAGAGCAACUCCAACAGCUUUGCUAUUCUUAUUAUGAAGACCUUUUAGAACUUGUAUAGCAGAAAAAUAGCCUCCAACAGAUGUGCUAUUUGGUUUUGUAAAAUAAAAAGUUUGCUAUUCCUUGAUUUUCGUUGGCCAUAUAUAGCCAACCACUGACACUAGCUAUCUGAUAGCAAGGCUGUUGUAGAUCUCUUUUUUUUAAGAAGUUUUUUAUUUUACAAAAUGGCUAAACAUUAGAAUUUGGCAACUAAUUUUAGCCAAGCUCUUGGAGAUGCUCUUACUGUGUUUUUUUCCGUUCCUCCGUUUUCUAUUCCUGCGUUCCAAACAGGCCCUUAAGAGUUGCAAGAAAUCCUGCAGAACUUAGUGCCCAGCAAUGAUUUGGAUACUUGGUACUAUAUUUGGGGAAAUACUUCUUUUACAUCCAAACAAGCCUAUAUUCAUCUAAUGGAAGUAAUGUGGUAGCUCCAAUCUUCAGUUAGAUCUGGAAAUCCUCUUGUCAGCCAAAGCAUAACGUGUUCUUCUGGCUCCUUGUACAGGAUAGGGUCAGUACCAGAAAGUUAUUGAGAAGAAAGCAUAUGUUCCUCCCUUCCUAUGAUUGUAUCUUGUGCAAUGCAAGUUUUGAAGAAAUUGUGGACCAUCUACUCCUAGAAUGUAGCCAUGCCAGGGAAUGUUGGGCCUAGAUUGCCCUAACAGUGAUUAGCUCACCGGACCUGAUCCAAAGAUUUGAAAGCUUUCAAACACAAAUUGCAAAAAUAAUUCUUCAUGGAAGUAAUUAUCAUCAUGUGCUGGAGCAAUUGGACCAUUAGAAAUGAUAAUAUUUUCAAAGGAAUCCUAGCUUGCAGCCUUCGAGACAUAGAAAUCUUCAAAAACAUCUUCAAACAACUCCUAUGGAGAACAAAGAGGAAAUAUUUUCCAGCUAUUGAGUUAUGGCUAUAGCAAGUUGUGUAAUUGCCUUAAUUUUUUUGUUUCCUUCUUUGUCCCCUGAACCCCAACCUCUCUCUCUCCCUUCUCCUUUAAGCUUUUGUAACUUCUCCUUGGUUAUAGUUUUUUUAAUAAAUUCUUCGGUAGAGGUCCUCCUGAGCCUCUCCUGUUUGUUUAAAAACACAUUAGGCCUGACGUGGUGUUCUCUUACUAAGCCUUGGCAAGGGAAACGAAUUCAUGUAUGUAUGCUUCAAUUUAAACAGUUAACAUCUCGUCCUAGUUGUAGCUUAGCUGCUUAGCGCAUGUUGUGAGUUAGUGCCACAUUGUUCAACCUGAGUAGAGGGCGACGGGAGUGAGUUCUUAGUAGGACCUAGGGCAACAUUUGUAGUUCAAUUCAUCCAUGCCCUUGGUCAUUUUGGUUGAGACUGAAUUGAUUUACAAUUAUAUAUACUCCCUUCGUCCUGGAAUAGAGUACAUUCUGGCAUUUGAGAUGUGUCCCCAAAUAUAGUACAUUCAAGGAACAAGAAGAUAAUCUUUACUUAAAUAAAGUUAUGGAAGAGAAAAGUGAUUGAGUGCAUGCCAUAUUUUCUAUAAGAAAACUUAGAUUGCACCCCUUAAUCAUGCGAAUAGGAUCAGAUUUCAAUAGAUUAGGAAGUUAAGUAAGGAGCACAUGUGUCUAUUGUCUUCUCUCUUAUUUUAUCUUAGAAUAGUCACAACGCACAGUAUUGCAGGACGGACGGAGUAGAUAUAGAUAUAGAUACAAAAGAUGUCUUUUUUGGCUCAGAAAAAGAAUUAAUUCCUUUUUAAAUUAAAGGUUUGAAUCCUUAGAAAAACCGAUCCAAAACAAUGUUUUAUAGGUGUCCGAUAUUAGUUAGAUAUAUUUUAUUCAAUUUUUAGAUAUAUGUUUUUUGGGUAUAUUUUAUUUGUAUAUCUAAUUUUUAGAUAUGUAAUAUUGGUAAUAUUUUAUUUGUAUCAGAUACCCCACAAUGUAUCUGGAUUGGAUUUAUAUCUGCUAAUAAUAUCUAAGAAAAAUAUCUAAAUCAAUAUUAGAGACUCUUUUGGAUGGUACUAAAGAAAAAUUUGUACCAUUUACAUCCUUGGCUUCACCUACCAUUGCAACUUUGGACACUAUUUUGUAUUAUAUUGCUUUUCUAGCAAAAAUGGCUCUGGGUUUACCAUAAAAAAAUGAACUACCGACUUGCUUGGGACAGAAAUAAUUUGUUGAUUGUUGUUGAAUAUAUUUUAGAGACUCAAAUAUUCAAUUUUAAAAUUUAGGUUUUCGAAUCUUUGAAAGGAGGUCGGUUAUCGAUAGUAUGUGUCAAAGUUGUGGUUUUAGUAAGACCUAUAACUUUAUAGCUGGCAACUUUUAAAUCUGAAUUCAUUGAGAGACUUAAAUAUUGGUUUUAAGUUCUAUAAUCCUGAAAAAAAAAAUUGAAUUUUUCGAAUGAUCUCACGUGUUGGUUUGGUCCACACAAAGUUGUAGCUCUCAAUACGUUAUUCAAUUUUGUAGUUAAUAAUAUCUUUUGUAUCUAGAAUCGUUUAGAGACUCAAAUUUGCUGCGGCGCCAUGUGCCAUCCACAGCCUUUAUCUGAUACUCAAGAGAUAGCCCUAUUGCUAUAUGCUAGUUUUUUCUUGCUCUUCACUGCGAACCUGCGUCACUUUUCUUGACUGAUGAUGACUAAAGCUCAAUCUGAAAUUGUAUUAUUGUUGGAAGGAAUCUCUCUGUAAGACACAAAUGUUUCAGUAACAAAAAAUGAUGGUACGGAAUCAUUCAGUAAACACACACCAACCUAAAAAAAAUAUGGCGCUUCUUCUUCUCAACGAUGAGUCUAACUGACGAGAUAUCUUGUCAAAAAAAAAAAACUGACGAGAGAUAAUAAUAUGUAGUGUAACUGUGUACCUGGACCUGAAGAACUUUACAAACCUCCAUUCUAGUGUAGAAAACGCAUCAAUUGUACAGUAUGUUGGAGAAAAAAAAAGAUUUAUGCACCACUUUUUACUAAAAAAAUAAUCUAUGACCACCAAAUGGUAUAGUUAUCCGCGUAAAGCUUGGGCUGUUUGUUUGCAGCAGACUGAGAAGGGGAAGCAGGAAGGAAGAACGAGGCAGACAGAGGUAGGCGAGGAAGGAUUCAGAGAGUUCAAUUCAGAGUUUUCUUAUUCGAUGCUUACGACUCACGUCUCUUCCCUGUUUAAAAAGUUUAUUUUGCCUUCCUCAACUAUCGUAAAAAUCAGUUUUUUCUUCAUCUCUAAACCAGACAUAGUUCCUCUCUCAUCUCUCAAAACCAGUCACUUUACCUCUAUGACUGUUUCCAUUGGUGGUUUUACUAUUUUAUUUUUAUGUUUAUUUCGGCUCAAUCUUCGAAAAAAAUUAUAAAAUAGAAAAAUUCAAUUGUGUUGGACUCUACAUGAGUAGAUCUACAUAGUGAGCAUAUGAUAUGAUAUGCUUUAGUAUAAACUUUUUUUUUGCUAAGUUACAGUUUAUCUUGUCCAAUUAUAUGAAACUUUUAUGUUGGAUUAAUAAUUUGCGUGCUUGAGACGUACUAAAGAAAAUCACGCCCGUUGGAUCAUAUAUGACUAAGUUAUAGAUUUAUCUUUUAAUUUAUCUAGGUUUAUAUAUAUAAAAAUAUAACUCAGUCAAACAUGAUCCAUUAAGUAUGAAUUUUUUUCUACAUCUCAAUAAUUCAAUGAUGAGCCCACCAUAAACAUUUUGCCAAAAAUCGACCAUAGAAAUUGGAGCUAUGAAUUAAUUACAAAAAAGUAUAGAUCUAAAGUUACAACAAAAACUUUAUACUAAAACAUACUAUAGUGUAUGUCUAUUGUGUAGAUAUUAACAUGUGGAGUCUAAAAAAAUUCAUACCAUUGGAUCAUGUAUGACUGAGCUAAAGAUUUAAUUUAAUUUAAAACUUAUUUAACAAGAUACAUCUAUAACUCAAUCAUGCAUUAUUCAAUGAGCAUGAAACUUUUAUUGUGGCUCAAGAAUGCAAUUAUUAGCCCACCAUAAAAAUUUCACCAUAAUUAGACCACAAAAACAACAGCCAUGAAUUAAUUACAAAAAACAUAAAUAUAAAGUUAAAACAAAAAAAAAUUAUACUAAAGCAUACUCACGUGGAAUCUACUCACGUGUACUAAAGCAUACUCACGUGGAGUACCAUAUCAUAUGUUCAUUGUAUAAAUCUACUCACGUGGAAUGCAACAUAAUUGGACUUUUCGUUUUACAAUUUUUCUGUGAUUUAGUAUGAUUUUUUCAAAGAUUCAGCCGAAAUAAACACAAGAGAAGUGACUAGUUUUGAGAGAUGAAGGAGGAACUAGUCUGGUUUUAGAGUUGAUGAAGAAAAACUGAUUUUUGUAAUAGUUGAGGGGGUUAAAAUGGAGUUUUUCGUUUCCUAUUACAACACUCUGGGCCGGCGUAGCGGGUGUUGAGCCUUAUCUAGCGCUUGGGCCUGGCAGCAGAAGUCAUGCAUGACUCUGCUGUCGGGCCAACAACCCAACAGAAUGGCACUACACUUUCAGCGGAUAUUGGGCCAUCGGAUUAACCGGUCCAAUCUGCUGCCAACAACAACAACAACCACCACGGAAAGUGACCAAGUUCCUGCGGUGUUGGGCCAGCCAAGUCGUCAGUCAGUCCAAUGGUGUGGGCUAGUCCGUCUAAUGGUCAGUCAGUCACAGUUAGACGUGGCUUUGUUCCCUUAUCUUUUAUACCUCACAGUAUUCUUCUUUCACGAUAAAUCAGCGAACGCUCUCUUUUAGCUAUAACUUUUCAGACAAGCUAAUACAUGUCUCCUUGCUACUCCUUCCUACACGCUGGAUUCAUGACGCAACGUACGGGAAAAAGACGCAACUCGCCAGCACGUCGCUCAGGAAUCAGGAGCAGAAAUGUCAACAGGUGUAGUAACAAAUUAAAUUACUGAUGAGAGCGCACUGGUUGUUCGUCGCACUAUGCAGAGCUCCCCGCUUUCAUCUGGUACAGGCGAGUGCAUAAUUUUACAUUAAACAGACAGCCCUGGGAAUGUGGCAUGGGUAGUAGCUAGACUCGUUCCGUCCAACAGCACUGCUGCAUCCCCGUGGUCAUCGUGUACUGCGUAGUGUAGACUAGUGGUAAUUACUAUUCUAAUGGAAUAGUAAUUGAACAUGCGAAUCCAAUUUGUACUCGCCAAUACCAAGUCAUCUGACAUCCCCCAUGCCUGCUUGCGUUGAAACCCGAGAUCGGCUCUCAAGUAGGCGUAGUCCCGACUGAGAGGUAUGGACGGAUCGACUAUGGACAGAGGGAAGAGGGAGGCUUCAUCAAAUUUACGCAGUGUAAAUACUGGUGAAUAAUAACCCACGACACAGCCAUUAUGUGCACACGGUGAAAACGGCGAGUGUGCUCCGCAUUCAUGCCCAGCCUAAAUAAACAGUGAAGUGGUCCUGCUCGUUGUGAUGACGAGGCUUCCUAUAAGUACCAGUACCACCUAGUAGAUGCUUAUCUGACUGGCCGUAUUCGUGGGAGCCAGAUUCAGUAACUUUACAGAGCAAAGUCACGUUGUAACUUUCUUUGAAUCUCCAUCCUCCAGUUAGCAUCGGACGGCUACAAUACUUCUUGAGGCCCAGUUCCGUUCCCGCACGAAAGCGGCCGCGCGCCAGAGUCCGCAGGAGCGCCGUCGCCCGUCGCCAUCGCUAUCACGGACGGCCGCAGCUGCCACCAGAAGCCGCACCCACCGCCAGAGCCUGUAGGAGUGCCAUCGACCAUCACUGUCGUGGGCAGUGCGUGCAGCAUUGUGGAUGCCGCGGCCUCAACCGUGUCGCUGGCUCGCGGAAUGCGCGAUUGGAGCGAGGAUCGACGUGGGUAGGCUGGCGGAUUUCUUGCUCGCCAAUGUGGCCGACGACUCGAAGGCAGCGGUGCCCGGCCGAGUCAUCCGAGCACUCCUACAGGCUGCCAUUUUCUAGUCGCGAGUGCGCGGCGAGCGUCGAGUGAUGCGCCUGGCUGCAGCCCCGGCCAUGGUGCACGCCACGACGGAGCUCGGCCAGUGCUGCUACUGCUGGUGCAAGAGCUCGCCGGCAAGGGGACAACAAAUAACAUGGCCACCAGGUUCGUCGCGUAUGCAAGAGUCGCCAUGCCGAUACAUGCCAUCGACUUGGUUCUUGCCUGUUCCGGCCAGGCGACAUCCUCACCUUCAUGCUCUGUCGUCGCCAGGACGCAUCCACGUGCAUCCAGCAGGCAGCUUCCCAGGUUAAAAUGGCCAAGUUCAGAGAUUGCUUUUGCUUGAGAUCACUAGGUCCAUUAGAUUUUGAAUGGACGCACCAGAUGAACGGAAAGUUACAUCGUGACUUUAUAGAGUAAAGUCACUGAAUCCAGCUCCUCGUAUUCGUGAGCUUCCAGAGAGGUCCAUUAUUUUCAGGAUCACCAGCACCCCCCUCCCGCGUGGCUCCUACAGUAGAAAGCCCGUACACCACGUACGCCGCCGAAUCAUGGCGCGCGUGCUUUGCGUCAAAAGCAAGGGCUCGCUCCGUCCUAUCCUUUUCCUAUCUCGUCAGUCAUCCAUGCCAAUCAGAUCCAUCGCAGCAGCUAGCAUCUCCAUGCAUUUGCAUUUGCAUCCACGAGCGAGAGCGAGACCAUGCAGUGCCGGCCCUGAAUUUUUUGAGGGCCGGGGCGGAAAAAAAAUCUGGGGGCUUUAUACAUUAUUAAGUUCCCAAAAACCAAAAAAAGUUUAAAAUUUUUCGUCACAUCAAAUCUUACGGCACAUGCAUAAAACACUAAAUAUAGUCAAAACCAAAACUAAUUACACAGUUUGCCUGUAAAUCGCAAAAUGAAUCUUUUGAGCCUAGUUAGUCCAUGAUUGGACAAUAAUUGCCAAAUAAAAACGAAAAUGCUUCAGUACCUAAAACAAAAAAAUUUAGGAACUAAACAAGGCUUAAGGAAAUUUUUUUGGUUUUAGCUACUGUAGCACUUUUGUUUAUAUUUGGCAAUUAUUGUCCAAUUAUAGACUAACUAGGCUCAAAAAAUUCGUCUCACCAAUUACAGGUAAACUAUGUAAUUAGUUAUUUCUUUUAUCUUUAUUUAAUGCUCCAUGCAUGCGUCUAAAAAUUCAAUGUGAUGAGAAAUCUUAAAAAAUUUUAGAAACUAACAAGGUUGUAGUUGUUGUUAUUCUAGGCCUGAUUGGUUCCUCUCGCUAAAUUUUAGUCACUUUAAUAGCUAAACUUUCAAACACAUUAACUAAAAAAGAGCUAAAAUAGUUUAGUUACACAAGUCACCCAAGAGUAGCUAAAAUAGUUUUAGCUGGCUAAAAUUUAGCAGGAGAAACCAAAUAGGGCCUAAAUAUUCUACAUCGUAAGCCAAAACUAAGCAGAAAAAAUACAGAAUAGUAUUGAACAACGUUGAAUAUCAUUGUUUAAUAUAAUAGUUCGGAGGUGUAGAAUAGUACUUGUAUAUAUAUACUCAUAAAUACUUAACUCUACAUGCAAAAGCAAUAUUCAUAUGCAACAAUUUAUAUAAAUAUACAAAUACAUUAAAGAUUAUUGUAUGGUUUGCAUAUUUGGGGGUGGGGCCCUGUCUAAUUGGGGGCCAGGGCGGCCGCCCCGCUUGCCUGCCUCCAGGACCGGGCCUGAGACCAUGCUAUAUAUAUAUAUAUAUAUAUAUAUAUAUAUAUAUAUAUAUAUAUAUAUAUAUAUAUAUAUGCAGAUUUGUGUGCCAGCUAAGCCGGCAGGUGGCCUGGCCCGAUACGGAACAUCUGCGAGCCCUGUAGAUAUCCCGGCUGACAGGUGGAGUCGAGUCCAAUCUCCGGAGAUUAGCGGGAGAUGGAUGGAUAACCUCGUGGGAUCAGCGGCGGAGCCAGGAUUUAAAUCUUGGGUAUUCCUAGUGUCUGGUGGGCCACCACUCAGUUGUUGCCUCUAACCUCAUGACCGACGUAUGUCUUCACCGGUCGCCAUGUAGACAUAGCAUAGAGACAGAGGCCGCGUCCGUGCUACACGCUUCUAGGAUGAGAGUAACUACACGCGCGUGUAAAAGAAACGCGUCCUAUAUAUAUAUAUAUAUAUAUAUAUAUAUAUAUAUAUAUAUAUAUAUAUAUAUAUAUAUAUAUAUAUAUAUAAAAUAGGGUGAGUUUUCUAUACUCCUAGGAGGAGUAGUUACUCCCACUAUAUUUAUUGGGUAUAUGUCCAUUAUCAAAACCCGUUAAAUACUCCUGCACUUUUGUGUAGUUGUUGUGCCCGCUUGCAUGCGGACGAAGAGCCACAAGACGUUACAUGUCCAUAUUUUGUGGCGUAUGUUUGUUGCUUCUUUCAAAUAAAAUAAAAUGGAUACUAAAUUCUUUAUUGACGUAUAUAUUUUUGUGUAAAUAAAAUAUGGACACUAAGAAAAUUUGUAUACUUAUACUUGGGAGUAUAUCCAUAUACUUCGGAAAUUAUUUUAGUAUAUCCAUAUACUCAUGGAAUUUUAGUAUAUCCAUAUACUUGAGCGUAUAUUUGGGAGUAUGUCCAUAUACUAAUGAGAUUUUAUUAUAGAGUAUAUGAACUAUUUAUAGGAGAAAAAAAUAGUAUGCUAAAUGUGCACAUAUUUUUUUUACACGAGUAGUUCGCAAAUAUUGAUAUGAGUAUACUAGUAUGCGUACAGACUUUUGACAGGAGCUGGCCGUGAGUUUCCGUCCCGAUCGGAAGUGACGGAUGGGGUGAAGCAGAUCUGAGAUCUGCUAGCUAUAUAUGUACGUAUUUAUAUUCAAUAUUCAAAAUACGAACGGGUCCGUUUUUUUUCUUUAACCCGCUAACGAGAACCCAGCGCCACGUUAGAGCAACUCCAACCAUUAUGCAAAUGGAAUUGACAUUUACCAAAAUACAUAAAACUCCAAAAAAAACCCCUCCAAUCGUUAUGCAUUUGGACUUUGCAUUUUACAUAGCUAUGCAUUUGGAGGGGGAAACUUGGCAUAUAUGCCAAAGAAGUCCGGCUAUGUAAAUAGAGAUCACGGGAUUCUCGGUUCCACCUCGCAGGCUUUUUUCUUCCCUUCGCGCGGUUUCCCUUCGCGCCGCCACCACUUCGCGCGAUUGGAGAAGCAUCGCGCGUCCUCCUUCGCCAGCUUGACUGAUGGCGGCGACCUGAUGGAGAUCGAUACUGGAGCCAAGGGGCGAACCUAUACGACGACAAACUGAUGGCCAACAGACGACGAACUGGUACGGUGAACGAGAACUAACGGAACGGGAGAUCGGUACUGCGAUCGGUACUGCGAACGGGAACGACGAACUGCGCAGCUCACAAUCGGUACUGCGCGGCUGUUUGGCGCGGGAAUUGGUGAACGGGAGACGACGGCGGGCUGUUUGGCGCGGGAUCGAUUGACCGCGCGGGAAGGAGUGCCGCGAAACAAAAUUUUCGGAAAAAAAAAGAAGAUGGACUCGGCAUUUUGCAUAACGGUUAGAGAUCACCCGAUUUUAGCCUUGUUAUUUUUAUUUGGGGGUUUGCAAUUUACCUAAAAUGCAUAACUUCAAAUGCAUAAUGGUUGGAGAUGCUGGCUCAGUCGUAUAAAUCUAGGUGGGAGUAGCUACUACCAGGGAGUAGGAAAAAUUUACCAUAUAUAUAUAUAUAUAUAACCUAUUCUACACCCUAGGUGUAGAAUAUUAUUUUACACCGCAAAUCAAAACUGAGUAGAAAAAAAUACUGAGCAACACUGAAACGCGUUCAGUAUCAUCUAAUACUACACUCAGGACCACGAAAUACUGAACAAUACUGAAACGCGGAUACUGAACAAUACUGAAUUCUGCUCAGUAUAACAGUUUGGUGUGACGGAGAAUUUUGAAAAUUUUUACGAACUAAACAAAGCCUAACUUUGCUCGAAAUGACCAUACACUUCGUAUAAAAUACGUCAUGCUUUGCGCUUACCAAAGUUUCCCUUUUUUUCACUGGGGUUAGGCCUUGUUUAGUUUACUCUGAAAACCAAAAAUUUUUCAAGAUUCUCCGUCACAUCGAAUCUUAUGUCACAUGCAUAAAACAUUAAAUAUAGACAAAAACAAAAACUAACUAUACAGUUUAGCUGUAAAUCACGAGACGAAUCUUUUGAUCCUAGUUAGUCUAUGAUUGGAUAAUAUUUGUUACAAACAAAUGAAAUGCUACAGUACCGAAAACUUUUCACUUUUCGGACUAAACAAGGCCUUAGUAGAGAAAAGGCCUCUCAUUCGAUGAGGAACUUUCUAGAAGUACGCGAGAAUCUCAUCUGCUCGAACGAAAGAAUUACAUACACCAAGUGCCAAGGACAGACAUAUACAUACUAUAAUAUGGAUUGUCAUGUAUGCCCAUGCCAGGAGGUGGGUUGAAAAAUUUCACAGUACAAUCAUGCAUACACUUAAUAAUGGUAUACAAAGCAGUACAUAUUUGAUAUUUUGCAGUACAGAUCCAGAACCAUAGCACCGUAGCACGUGCCCUCGGCCUAAUGUUCCCUUAAAGGAACUAAAGAAAAGCUCUGUUAAUUGCAGUCAUCACACAUUCUCACUGCAAUGCAAGAUACUGUGUCACAGUCAACCUUUUUCUUGUGUGCAGGCAAUGCACGGACCCACACACUGCACUCGUAAUUUAUGUAACACUCUCGUGAUGGUCAUGCAUGUUACUAGCAACUUAUGUGAGACUGCAAAUCUCUGCAACACUGCUGCAAAAGGGUUGAAAAAUGAAAAGCAGACCUAUGGGAAUGUGCUUUCAUUUUCAUAUUCAUGAUAUACUGGCAAAGCGAUGCUAUUUUCAUUGUGGCCUUGCAUGUGCAGCGAGGGAGCACCUUUCAAUCGCAGUGGCACCCAACCAACCAAGCCUUGCCAUUUGCCAAACCAUAUACCUUGCGGUAACAUUGCUAUGAUACUAGCUAGCUAGCUGGCGCGCGAGAUCGAUCUUUUUCUUGCCAUUUCAGGGCACCGAGACGUGCAUGCCAAACCUAGCUGAGCAACAGCAACAGCUUUGGAGGUAUAUAUAUGUAGUGAACCAUGCAUGAUACCAAAGAGCUGGCUAUAGCUAUUCAGGCCUUGUUUACUUCAACUGAAAAACUAAAAAGUUUUUCAAGAUUCUCCGUCACAUCGAAUCUUGUGGCAUAUGUAUGAAGCAUUAAAUAUAGACGAAAACAAAAACUAAUUACACAGUUUGUCUGUAAAUCACGAGACGAAUGUUUUGACCCUAGUUAAUCUAUGAUUGGAUAAUAUUUACCACAAACAAACGAAAGUACUACAAUAGUAAAAUUUAAAAAGUUUUCACAUCUAAACAAGGCCUCAGUCGUCUCCUUGGUGUGAAAUGGAUGAAACUGUAGGUGUUCUGUAUGCAUGCAUCAUAGCAAGAUAUGUACUAGUUCCUAUUGCUGAUGAGCUCACUCGAGCAGUCGAGCUGCAUUGCUGCAUGUUACAAAAAAGAAAAAAAUCUUCAGUCGGUUCAUCAGUCCCGUCUCACCUUGCUAAGGCCACAUUUGGAACACAGAAAUCUCACAAAACAGCAGAAAAGGAAAACUAUAGCUAAUACGACGAAACAUUUGGAACACAGAAAAUCUCAAAAUACUUUAUUGUACAUGAAACAGGUUACGCAAAAAAAAAAAAACUAUAGCUAAUACGACGAUUCCCACCGACAGGAUGCAGGUUACCGAGACACAGUCUUAUGUAACCCUCGGAUAUUUUGGUUCUGGAAGUACUGAUGGUGUCCGCCAAAACAAACACUCUAGUGCGUGCCGCUGGGCGAUUUUCAGGGCGGUGUUUGUGCCUGUGCGUGGCCACACCAAUAAAGACGAGCUGAACAUGAGGAGGACGAGAGCAUCUCGAUCUCGAUUUCCGGGGAAAUGAUCGAUUUCGCCUGUUUUCCUGUGGUUUUUGUUCGGCGGACGGACGGGGAGGAGGGGGAAGAAGACAACCGGCUCAGCUUUUUCAGCGACGAUCAAAAAUGCCUUUGCUCUUUUGUCAAAAAAAAAAAAAAGCCUUUGCUCAGAUGAAUGCACAUGCAGAGCUUCUCGUCGUCGUCAGCGAUUUGUGGGUGGGCAAGCAACAUCCUCUCCCUUUCCUCCUGCAGAACCGCGUAACAUUUUCACACUACACGAGCUCCUUGCACUUGCAGAAUGAGGGGUGUGUGUGUGUCUACUCAAAAUUUCUGCAACUUUCCCUAGGGCAGAACGAGAGAACAUGCUGAAAUGCUCUGGGUAAGGUAAAACAAGAGCCAAAAUGCACAAAAGCAUACUUAGACCUUGUUUAGUUUUACAAAUUUUCUUUUUGUCCCAUCAUAUUGAAUCUCUAGACACUUGUACAUAAAAAAUUACACAAUUUACAUGUGAUUUAUGAGACGAUUUUUUAAGUUUAAUUAAUCUAUGAUUAGAUAUUAAUUGUCAAAUAAAACAAAAAUAUUAUGGUAGUUAAAUCCAAAAAAGUUAACGAACUAAACAAAGACUUAAUAACGAAGCCAUAUUCCUAAAAGGUGGCAGAUGUGGAUCCAUUAUUUCACUGCUUAUCUUCGGUUGAACACAUUAGUUAUAUGUAGGGAUGAAAACGGAUCGGAUACGAACGGAUAUCACUGAUAUCAUAUUUGUUUUUAUAUUUUUGGUCGGAUUCUGUCACACCCGAUUUUAAAGAACAAAACCAGGCUAGCCAUAUGUGUGCCCAGGAAGUCCACACAUACAACAACAGAAGCAAUAAUAUCAAAAACAAUGUUAUAUAGCGGAAACAUACUUAUAAUUAACACUUACAUCAGAGAAUCGUAACACAAUAACUAAUCUUCAGGCUCAAUCUUCACAGGGACGACUGACUGGGGGUAACAUAUGCCUAGCACUUCUUGUAUCCUGAUAACGUCCUUCGUAACUCCUUCGCUCCUCUGAUAACUCUUAGUAGUAUACUGGAGUGGUGGGAAAUAGCAAGAGUGAGCACAUAUCGUACUCAACAAGUAUAACCAAGGGUUCAUGAGGCUCAAAUGGCUGACACUGGUUUAACUGCAUUUAGCUUUUAAUAGUGGAGAGCAUGUUCAUAAUUUAAUAGCAAUUGUCAAGGUAGCAGUAAUAAUCCAUUAAUCACAUGAUCAAGUGUAAGCAUAAUUAAUUAUUAGCAUAAACGAUAAUCAAAUGAACAUAACAACUUAACAAGCUCAUCGUCGUCGCAGCAAGAACCCCCAAGGCCGCUCUUAACCGUGAGCACGGCUAGUAUACUAGUUUUAACACUCUGCAGAGGUUGUACAUCUUUACCCAUGAGUCAUGAUUUACCCUUUCGCCCGAGGUGAUCAGCCUCUUAACCCACUCCCAAGGAAGGUCGGCAGGGAUCACUAUGAAGCCUUUCAAAAGUUCGUCUAACAUGUUAGGGCCGCAAGGUUUCCUUUGCGAGCAGAUAUAGAUACCCCCCUUCCGAAUGGCACAAUGACGCGCAGCCUAUACACAUAGGGACAGGGGCUCGCACUAUACCCGUGUCGGUUCAGCCCCUCCGCCCUUUCGGGUAACCUCUAACAAGCUAGAAAAGGUCUUCAUACUGAGCUAAAGCCAGAGCCAUUAUAGCCCUCAUGGUUGCACUGUUGUCCCGGUGAUCACUUACAGACAAGAUCUCAUAUAGUUAUUUGUCAUCUUUUAACGUUCAUUGCAUAGCUAUUAAUCAUCUUACAAGAUCAUGGAUUAUAUCAAGCACUAGCACAUCUACACCAAAUGCAUAUCAAGUAGGUAACAAGGAAUCCAGGUAACAAUCAUCUAUGAUUUUGCUAAGGUCGACAAGGUGAUAGCAUGCAUAUGACAUAUAUGUGUAGUUAUAAGUGAAUAGGUAACAAGGAUGAUCCCAAGUUAUACUUGCCUUAAACACUUGCUUAAUCCUCACAUCAUCAGCUUUCUGUCAUCAUCUUCUGAUCUUCAAUGCCCACAAACAGUUCUCGUCUACUCGCAUGAAGCACCACGCAUAGGCAAACAUACAAAGCAACAAAUAAAAGAAACUAAGAACAACACACCAAUCAAAAAAAGAAAGCCUUAAAAGAGAGCGCACUAAACGUUACGGGUCGAUGCUAAGGUUAUGAGAAACGCCGAAAGCAAAACUAUCGUAAUAAAGAAAUGACUACCUGUAGUUUUGGAUAAUUUAAAAGAGACAACAAUGAUCUUAAUAUGUUUUAUUUAAGAACAAUCAUGCGUAACCUACUAAUUCAAAUUAGUCAAAUUAUAUUUUAAUUUUAAAAACAAAGUAGAACUUAUUAUAUUUUAUUUAUGAAUAUAUCUAUUAUAUAAUCGAUAAUCAUAUUUUAAAUAUAGGCAUGCAAGCAUCAUUUUAAUCAAAGUAAACUUUAACUUUUUAAAGAAUAUGUGAGAACAUCUAUUCAAAUUAUACAUGAUACGUGUUGGAGAUGAUCAUAUGUUAUUCAUACAUAAUUUUAUAUCGUUUAUGCCAGUUAAACUUUAACUUAUAAAAUUACGUAACAUGUGAGCACUAAAAUAAGUUUAUGGUAUAUAUCGUGAUUGUCUAAGCAAAAUAUAAUUAAAACAUAUUCAAGUUGCUAUUAAUUAAAUUCAUGCUCACAUAAUUACAAAGGAUAGACAAACCCAUAUUAUUUUAAUUAUAAAACUAACUAUAAGGAUAUUGAGCAAUUAAAUAUUUAGAAAUAUAUAGAAAACAUGUGACAUGAAAAACACUAGCACUAACGCGUAGAUUACAUUGAUAUGAGUCUAAUGCAACUUGAACAAACAAACUCAGAGUUAAAAUGAGUAUUUUAUAGCUAAAACAAGCUAAUGUAUUUUCUCUAUAUUUCUAGAUUUGUUUUUCUAAAGGAAAACGGUGACAAAACUUAUCCACGACAUCACGUAUUCAUGGAGCAAAAAGAAAUUCUAAAUCUGAUUUCUUUUACCACCGAUUAACAAAAGUAAUACAUAAAUGUUGAUUUCUCGCUCGAUCCGCGUGCACUGAAAAUUCUGAAAUUCACCCACAAACCACAGUCCUAAUUACCUUGAUCCAUGUGUGUCGGUGAGAGUGAAAGCCAGAGAACGCAGCGCCGGGCAGCGGUAAUCGGUAACAGCAGCAUGGACUUCCACCUCUGCACAGUACCACCGAUCAACACAGAGGACAACAGUUUCUGCAGUGCGCCGAUUGAUGAAACGGAGGAAAUCGACGAGCAGAUGAAUUCGUCCAACAGCCGAAAAAUACUGUACCCGAUGACGACUGCGGUGGCCAGGAUGGAGUAGGACGGCAUGGCUCUAGGGGAGAUUAGUCGGCACCGGCGGCGGCAGAUACGAUCUAGGGCAAAAGCAAGAGCCUGUUCUGUUGCAAGAUAUAUAUAUAUAUAUAUAUAUAUAUAUAUAUAUAUAUAUAUAUAUGCUAGAAGAUAUGGGCCAUUUUAAGAUCAAAAAGGAGUUGGCUUCCUGGUCUCCCUACGAUAAGACGUCGGACAAAUUGAGCUGCGGUCGGAUGGUGGGUUUGAGCCCAAAUUAGCAAGAAUUUUACACAAAGUAAAAGGGAGCUUUAACAAAAGCAUGACAAACUCAUGGGUGAAUUGGAAGAUGAAUCCAAAUAAAGUAUUUAGAGCUCAUGAAAAGAUAUCUAGGAGCAUCUAGAAAUUAGAUUAUGCUCAGAGUCAAGUGGAAAUAAAUUCCAGGAAAAAUGCUGAAAAUAAUUCUUCAUACGUUUUAAUAGGUCGGUUCAUGGAAGGUGUACCCAAAGGAAUAAUUUAAAAUAGAAUAAAGGGAUAUGGAAACUCUAAAUAAAAAGAUUAAUGAUCAAGAAAGAGAAGACUUGAUUAUAUAGAAAAAAAACUGGAGACACGCCGGAUAGAGAUCAACGACUUACUAAACGCGCUUAUUAAAACUGCACCCGCUCACAACACAAAGUCAAGCGACAAGCAAGCAUCACCUCACAUCAACAAAAGCUCAUCAAGUUAAUUCAAAACAAAUUUGAAAAUUAACAUUCUCCUAUAACUAAAUUUGCAGUGACUCCAAACUAAACUUGGUAAAUUUUAUCCAAAUAUCAAAAUAUAUAUUUUUGUUAAUGUUUUCUACGCACAGCCCAAAAUCAAAAAUUUUGGGGUGUGACAGAUUCGGAUUCGAAUACGGAUAAUAUCAACAAUGUCGGAUAAGAUACGAUUGGAUGUUGACAUCAUAAAUAUACGAUUUAAGUAUUCGGAUACGGAUACGGUAUCGGAUAUUAAACAUUCAGACUCGAAUACGGACAGAUCUCAACCCCUCUAAACGAAUUCGGUCUCGAAUACGGUCGGAAAAUAUCCGUACCAUUUUUAUCCCUAGUUAUAUGACUUUAAUUUUACCGUCGAUGAGAGGGUAAGUGGGCAACACGGUAUAUAUAUAGUAGUAGUGUGUCAGUGUAAGAUUAGACCUUGUUUAGUUUCAAAAAAUUUUCAAAAUUCCUCGUCACAUCAAAUCUUACGGGAUAUGCAUGAAGCAUUAAAUAUAAAUAAAAAAAAGAUAACUAAUUACACAGUUUAUCUAUAAUUUGCAAGACGAAUCUUUUGAUCCUAAUUAGUCUAUAUUUAAAUAAUACUUAUCAAAUAAAGCCGAAACUGCUACAGUAGCGAAACCCAAAUUUUUUCGCGGAUUAAAUAUGUAUAGUAAAAGAAUUGUUACAAUACCUCUCAAAAUCUUUAAAAACACUCAUAGUUGGUAUCACGAACAAAUAUUUUCUGAUUCCUAUGAUUUUCAAUUCAUCGAUUUUUUAUCUUAUUUAUCGCUAAGUAGGUGUGUAGUUUAUUGCAGUUUACUUUAGAGGUGUCCUGUCUAAUUUCUGAUUCAUGUAUUUCUUACGUUUGUCAGUUUACAUACCUAACCCAAGGUUGUUGAUGUCUAUUCACGUACGUGGUAACUUAGGAUGUGUUAGCUAGCUAAUUUCUUAUUCAUGAGCUAAUUGUUAGCGAGCUAAUUGUAGCUAGCUUAAAAUUAGUUCUAGUGUAUCCAAACAUGAGUGCUAAUAGGACUAAUUUUUUAAGCUAAGUUUUCAACUAGUUAGUCAGCUAGCUAGCCAACCAUAGAUAUUUCGAACCAAAUUUUAGCUUAAGUACCAAUAACUAGCCAUGUAUCAAACAAUCCCUAAGUAGUCCAUUCCCCACAGUUGACGUCUUGGCGCCACAUACUUUCUUGGAGGCGUUGUUCUUCGAGCCCCAUGCUCGUAUGCCAUCAUGGCCAGAUUCAAGGGCGAAAGUCCCGUCUUGGGUGUCUCUAAGGCCAAUGCGACGCGUCCAUAGUUUCUAUGAGCGUCCUCCCCUUGCUGAAGUGGCCUUUCUACCGUCGGCUUCUCAGGAGUCCCUGACUAUACCUGUUGUGUUUCAUUUCCACUUGCUUUGGUCUAUUCUGCAGUUGUUGAUAGAGCGAAUCUAGGAUAUUAUGUCACUGGGGUCAAGGACUAAACAACGGGGUCAACACACAUGUUAAUUCUCUAUUUAAAAGAAUAAUUUGCAGGUCGAUUAAAGAGCUUUAAGUGAAUUUUUGGCAAGUUAUCGGGGUCAGCUGACCCCAAUGAAUACACAUAGAUUCGCCUCUGGAUUGUUGACCUUGUCCGCUUGGUCAUCGUUGGUUAUCAUAGUGGUUGCUUAGCUACUAUUGCUGCUCUCUUGGCAGAUGCUUUGCCGCCGUUUAGUUCGUUGGCAGAUGCUCUAAUUUGCUGCUGAUUGGUUUGUUGAUGGAUGCUUUGCCACCCUGUCGUCGACCUCCUUUCUACUAGUUCAUUUGCUACCGAGACUGAUCUGGUUCGUUGGCGGAUGCUUUGCCGCUGUUUUGUUCGUUGACGAAUGCUUUACCGUCGUUGUUGUUGGACGGUCCUCUGUAUUGACGACCACUACAUUGUUGCAUUGCAGGCACAGUUUUAGGUUUUGGGUCUUGAGGAUAGUCGCUCUCCUCUUUGUAUCUUUGUUGUUCCUAUAUUUAUUCUAGAUUACUCAAUAUUAUCUUAGUGGUUUGUAAUCUAUGAGGGUUUUCUUAUAGCUGACUUAUAAUUCACUCCUUUUAAUAAAAAAGUGGGCUAUAUCCCCAAAUCGUGAAAAAAAUAGUUAAAGGGGUGAAGUAGAUUUUUUUUCUCAAAAGAAUAUUGUUGAAUGAAUGACAGGACUUUGAUGAUAUCAAGUUAUCUGCUCCUGAAAACAACUGCUCAAAGGACUAUGGCCUUGUUUAUAUCAAAAAAAAAUUUAGAUACCGUAGCAUUUUUGUUUUUAUUUGACAAAUAUUUUUCAAUCAUGGAGUAGCUAGGUUUAAAAGAUUCGUCUCGCGAUUUACAGGCAAACUAUGCAAUUAGUUUUUAUUUUUAUCUAUAUUUAAUGGUCCAUGCAUGUGCCGCAAAAUUUGAUGUGCAGAAAAUCUUAAAAAGUUUUUGAUUUUUAGGGUGAACUAAGGCCUGGUUUAGUUGGCAAAAAAUUUAGAUUUCGAGUACUGUAACACUUUCGUUUUUAUUUGACAAACAUUGUCCAAUCAUGGAGUAAUAACUAUACUUAAAAGAUUCAUCUCGCGAUUUACAGAUAAAUUGUGUAAUUAAUUUUUAUUUUCAUAUAUAUAUUUAGUGCUCCAUGCAUGUGCCGCAAGAUUCGAUGUGACGGAGAAUCUUAAAAAAAAUUUGGUUUUUGCGGUGAACUAAACAAGGCCAUAUAUUAGUGUGCUGUGUUUCCCCCUACGAAGCAUUGUGGAGUCGUGCUUGAUCCACGUCGUUUGAUCUGGGCGAGGUGCACAAACGUCACAUGGCUCUUCUUGCUACUUCAGUGCAAAGGGAGUGUAUGCAUGCACACAAUAAUGCGGCCUGCGUCUGUGUACGGUAGAAAAAUACUUUAUACAGGAUAUGCAACGACGUGAAUGCUGCACCUGCCCCCUGCCCCUGCCCCUGCCCGCCCUAGUAGCUAUUCACGGCUCUAUCCAUUCCAUUGCCGUGCGUCAACAGGUCCAGACUGGCCCGGGUCCAAGCGAGUGACCAACGCGGGAAGCCUCCCGUCCCUCCCUCCCCCACAUGGGACAUGGCUGCCUGAUGAAUGCCUCUCGCCGCACUGCCCCUGCCCCUGCCCCUGCCCCUGCCCUCACUCCAUCGGAGGGCGGCGGCUUCACGAGAGCCGAGCAGGACCCAGACCCAGCGGGCAUCCGAGGCCCCCACCCCCACCCCCACCCCUUCCUCCGUGUAUAAAAGCGGUGCCAGGGUGAGCGUCUCUCCUCACACUGACUGCACCAGAACAAGAGCUUGAGAGUGAGAGUGAGGAUGAUGGGUGGCAAGGCCGCUCUGCUGCUGGCCCUGGUGGCCGUGACCCUGGCCGUCGUGGAGAUCCAGGCCGACGCCGGCUACGGCUACGGCGGCGGCUACCCGACGCCGACGCCGAAGCCGCCGGCCAAGGGGCCCAAGCCGGAGAAGCCCCCGACCAAGGGCCACGGCCACAAGCCGGAGAAGCCGCCCAAGGAGCACAAGCCGACUCCGCCCACCUACACCCCGAGCCCCAAGCCCACGCCGCCGCCGGCUACUCCCAAGCCGACGCCGCCCACCUACACGCCGAGCCCUAAGCCCAAGUCGCCGGUCUACCCUCCCCCGCCGAAAGCCAGUACUCCUCCGACCUACACCCCGAGCCCCAAGCCUCCGGCGACCAAGCCGCCUACCUACCCGACCCCCAAGCCACCAGCUACCAAGCCUCCGACACCUCCUGUGUACACUCCGAGCCCCAAACCACCGGUUACAAAGCCUCCUACACCCAAGCCGACCCCGCCGGUGUACACGCCGAACCCCAAGCCACCGGUUACCAAGCCUCCGACACACACGCCGAGCCCCAAGCCUCCGACAUCCAAGCCGACUCCGCCGGUGUACACACCGAGCCCCAAGCCACCGAAGCCGUCCCCGCCGACGUACACGCCGACCCCGAAGCCACCGGCUACCAAGCCGCCCAC
rnacentral:lncRNA from 1 species